rnacentral:tRNA from 1 species
UCCUUAACAUAACGUGCAGUGGUUAGAGCGUAGGUCUCGUAACCGAAAGGUUGCGGGAUCGAAUCCCGCUAGAAG